AAAAGAACACCUUUCUAGCAACUAUACCCUCUAUAAGGAACUCAGGAGCUUGAUGAUGGCCCAUUCUGGGGCACAUGAUCAAGAGGUACCAGGCUGUGUCAGCAGUCUUCACCUUUACAAGAAUAAGCAGCUUUUGCUAUGUUAUUCCUGGAAUUAAUACCAUAAAUUUCUGAAUGCAAGCUCUUCACUCACUACAGCCAUCACUUUCUACCAGUCACCAACAGUCACAAUUUCCACAACAAGGGACUUCAUAAAAUAAAAGGAAAAUAUCCCCAAGGUUCUACCAUGCCAAGA